GACGAACGCUGGCGGCGUGCUUAACACAUGCAAGUCGAACGGAAAGGCCUCUUUCGGGGGGUACUCGAGUGGCGAACGGGUGAGUAACACGUGAGUAACCUGCCCUUGACUUUGGGAUAACUUCAGGAAACUGGGGCUAAUACCGGAUAGGAGCUCCUGCUGCAUGGUGGGGGUUGGAAAGUUUCGGCGGUUGGGGAUGGACUCGCGGCUUAUCAGCUUGUUGGUGGGGUAGUGGCUUACCAAGGCUUUGACGGGUAGCCGGCCUGAGAGGGUGACCGGCCACAUUGGGACUGAGAUACGGCCCAGACUCCUACGGGAGGCAGCAGGGGGGAAUAUUGCACAAUGGGUGGAAGCCUGAUGCAGCAAGGCCGUGUGCGGGAUGACGGCCUUCGGGUGGUAGACCGCUUUCGCUCAUGACGAAGCUUUGUGUGACGGUAGUGGGUAAAGAAGCACCGGCUAACUACGUG
rnacentral:rRNA from 1 species